GGUGCUGCCCCUGGCGUGCGCGCCCUGCGGAGAGGCGUCGCGUGGGGGCAUACGGCUGGGCUCCAAAACGUCCAGACACUCACAGGCGAGAGGCAGAGGAGUACGCAGUGAUCAGUAGGAAGGCACAAGAACAGGAUGAAAUCAGCUACGGAGGGAGGUAGUAGUAGCAAAGGAACUGGCAAGAGGAGACAUAAGUGCCCAAUAUGCAAAGAGUUAGGGCACCACUGGUACAAAUGUAACAAUGGGAAUCCAGAAGAUAUAGUUGCAAUGGAGCUUGAGAGGGUCCACCAAAGAAACAGCUCAAGAAGAAAGCAGCUGCUUGUACCACAGAGAGUAGCAUUAUUGUGGCCACUCCUGCAUCAGGAAUGGUUUGGCCACAUAAUGAGGCAGUGGCUAAUGCUAUACACAAGAAAGGGAAGAGAAAAUCAUCUUCUUCAUCAUCAUUAGGUGUCAACAAAAAGGAAGAAGACAACAACCACUACUUCAACAAGUAAUGCUAGCAGAUCUGGAACUGGAUCCAAUGAUCACGUGCCUCUCCAAGUUCUGCCUCCUGUUCUGGCUACUGCCUCAGCACAUACAGUGCUGACACCAAGGAAGAAAUGUGGUGUCACGAAGAAGCUAAGAUAAAAAAGGGCACCAGUUCAGGUUGACAGCCCAGCCAGUCCAGUUGCAAAUACCAGAAGCAAGAAGGAAUUGAAGCUUGAAUAAAACGUGAUCCAUGAGUGUUAUUUUGUUCUGUAAUAUUAUGCAAUGGAGUUGUAUUUAACACACUUUAGUUUUGAUGGCCAGUCCUUUUGUGGAGAUGGAAACCAGUAACUUAGGUGCUUAAAUUUGGUGCAAUGAACAAGUACUUUAUGUUGUUAUUUGUUACUGUGAAUUGUUGCUCUUAUGUAGGCAAAUAUAAUGUUGUGUUGUUGUCCA